UGCGGGUUCGUAGAAUGGCGCUACGCAGGGUUCAUAACCCUGAAAGGACAGGUUCGAUUCCUGCACCCGCUACCA
rnacentral:tRNA from 2 species